rnacentral:rRNA from 1 species
GAUGAACGCUGGCGGCGUGCCUAAUACAUGCAAGUCGAGCGAACAGAUGAGGAGCUUGCUCCUCUGACGUUAGCGGCGGACGGGUGAGUAACACGUGGAUAACCUACCUAUAAGACUGGGAUAACUUCGGGAAACCGGAGCUAAUACCGGAUAAUAUAUUGAACCGCAUGGUUCAAUAGUGAAAGACGGUUUUGCUGUCACUUAUAGAUGGAUCCGCGCCGCAUUAGCUAGUUGGUAAGGUAACGGCCUACCAAGGCAACGAUGCGUAGCCGACCAGAGAGGGUGAUCGGCCACACUGGAACUGAGACACGGUCCAGACUCCUACGGGAGGCAGCAGUAGGGAAUCUUCCGCAAUGGGCGAAAGCUUGACGGAGCAACGCCGCGUGAGUGAUGAAGGUCUUCGGAUCGUAAAACUCUGUUAUUAGGGAAGAACAAAUGUGUAAGUAACUAUGCACGUCUUGACGGUACCUAAUCAGAAAGCCACGGCUAACUACGUG